rnacentral:rRNA from 1 species
UACGGAGGGGACUAGCGUUGUUCGGAAUUACUGGGCGUAAAGCGCGCGUAGGCGGAUUUGUAAGUCGGGGGUGAAAUCCCGGGGCUCAACCUCGGAACUGCCUUCGAUACUGCAAAUCUCGAGUCCGGAAGAGGUGAGUGUAAUUCCUAGUGUAGAGGUGAAAUUCGUAGAUAUUAGGAAGAACACCAGUGGCGAAGGCGGCUCACUGGUCCGGUACUGACGCUGAGGCGCGAAAGCGUGGGGAGCAAACAGG